rnacentral:rRNA from 1 species
CCUUUGUGUACGAUUAUAUUCCGAACUUAACGUGUACAUAACAGAAUAAUUAGUACGUGUAAAACCUCGUACUAAUAAAAGUUUACCAAACAGAUUGUUAUGACUCCUCUGGACGUACAGACAGUUGUAAGAAUUAUACCUUGGUAAUCUACUACCUACUGGUAAAAAACGUUAUAGGCUGACUGAUUAACAUGUUAACUAUUCUGUUCCCAAGCUGAAUGAAGGGAGACGUUUGUAGAAGAAACGAGUUCAUUAAGUUCCGACACGUUACACUCUAUUAGUACAUACCACAAUGGCUUACCCGACCUUUCAAAGAUUUAAUACUCGAGACGUACUAAUUCGCCGCAGCCCUGGACAUGAAGUAAAUAACGUCUCGUUCUUUCCUUGUAGUUUCUUCGACAAUUUUACCUACCCUCUUAAACGAUUUUGUACAAAUGGAUAAAAAAAUUUCUAAUUCACAUAAGAUCUUUCUUUUAUUGACAUACAAAGUAGCUCAUUGUUUAGUCCUUGACACGUCCACACACAAGUAGAACUACCCUCAAACAGGCUCUACGACCCGCUCCCCUAACAAAGGCGUGACGUACAUAGGUUCACAAAUCCCUACGGAAAACGCUUGUUAAAAUCAAAAAAAACUCGCUCGUUUAACUAUGAAAAAAACACUUACAUAGGCUCACCCACUUUAUGAGGGGUAAACAGAACUCACCCACUUUAUGAGGGGUAAACAGAGCUCUCCAGGACCACACCUUCGAAUCGUGACCCAAACAGUAAUAACUCCGUUAUUAUCAAACUUAUACGUGUGAAAGUAAUACAUGAACGUCACGCAUUACGUAGUACACAUCUUUUUCUAUCAAUAUAAACAUAUCUCAUUUAAUGUUCCAAACUCCAUAAACUUAUUUUUUAUGAAACAACAAAGUA